rnacentral:lncRNA from 1 species
ACUGGUCUGCAGGACUGGUGACAUGCUCCUCACAUCUGGCCAGGGUCAGCCCGUGUGUGCUCAUCUUACACACGUGGUCUCCAGCUCACCUCCAGCAUGAGCACUUGUGACCACACACUGAGAAUAACAGGUGACUCCAAGCUUGGAGCAGUUGUGAGCUCACAGCUGUCAGCUUGGGUCCAGAGGCCAACACACCGAGUAGCUUGGUGUUGCAGUGGCCUGGCUGUGCGGCCCGUGGAAGCAGACAACGGCAGUCAGGACUGCAGGGCCCUACCACGUCCCUACAGCCCUUCCCCAACACAGGAGGUGCAAGCUCAGCAUUACCCAAGAACAUGGGGCUGGGGCCAAGCGGUGGAGGCUUCAGUCUAAGUUCUGCAACGAAGAAUCAGCUUGGUUUUGGGUGAGCCAUGUGGGGCAUAAGGUUCUUCAGCAAAAUGAGGGACUGAACCAUAGAACCUUAAGUUGGAUUUGUGAAGAAAAUUACUUUGAGAACAAAAAAGGGAACAGUUUCCAAAUCACGAAAUGAUCUUACUAAUCUAUCAUAGCUCUUAAAAUGUAGUUCGCCUCAUUAAUGGAAUAAUACAAAAGGAAAAUGUAGUUUGCCUCAUUAACUUGGAAUAAUAUGACAGGACACUGAUUUCUGCCCAUUUGUAUGCAGACUUCAUUAGAAAAUAGUCAAAAUUUAGUUUCUAUAAAAAUUGUAAGUACCACUGUACCACACUGCAUUAGACUAACAGGUCAUCUUUAGUGCUCAAAAUAAACUUGUCCUGCAGGACCUCAUGGCCUCUGAAAUGAAAGAGGAGUUUGGCCUGACAACCGCCACGCCUACUGCCACCUAAGCAGCAGCGUCCAGCAUCUGCAGGUCUCUCAGCCGCUUGUCAUGGCUUCGCUGACAACCUCAGUCUGGAGAGGAGAGGGAACCCUGCAGGACUGUGUAUGCAGUGCAGACUUUUUUUUUUUUUUUUUUGUAAAGACAGGGUCUCGCUAUGUUUCUCAGGCCAGUGUCAAACUCCUGGCCUUAAGUGAUUCUCCCACCUCAGCCUGCCAAAGUGCUCAGAUUACAGGUGUGUGCCCAGCCACGGCGCAAACUUCUGAGGACCUACUGCCAACCAGCUAUCCUAAGAUGCUGCAGAGGGUUCCUGCAUUUAGCGAGGAUGCUGCAUGAGAUACUCUCUACCUCCUGGCUGACACUGGCCCCAUGGAAAGUGAUACCGAUAUCUAGCGAGUGUCCACAUGAGUCCGUAAAUGAGGGAAAACGGCAAGAAAAGAUGAAUUUCUUGAAAACUGCGUGAAGGUCCUGAGCCAGGCCCUCGGUUAUUUGGUUUCCAUCUCUUCUCUGCUCCAAGCCUGAGGGUGGCAGCUGGCGCCAGGCGCUGCUCUUGGGACUUGCAGCUGCAGCCUCCUGGCCAAUCAUCUCUUACUUCCUGUCUCGGAACGAAUGGCAGACACUCUUCAAGGCCUGACUCCUGAAGACUCACGUGCUAGGAGCACAGAGGGGGCUCUGACCACCAGGCCUCAUUUGACAAGUGCUGACUGUGAGAUGUUUUUUGCUUUUUUCUUCAAUUAAUCUUUCUGGAGAAUUUCUUUUUUACCCUUUUGCAUCUUAAGGUGGAGGUUUUUAUUCCAAAUGUUUUUUACACACAAUUCUUGAAACUCCUGAAUUCAAUGACAGCUUCUUAUCAUGGCAAAAGGUUUAACCCCCAGAAGAACUUCAAAGAACUCAGAUCUUCCAGAGCACGACU